rnacentral:rRNA from 1 species
CAGCAGCCGCGGGAAUACGUAGGUGGCAAGCGUUGUCCGGAAUUAUUGGGCGUAAAGGGCUCGCAGGCGGUUUCUUAAGUCUGAUGUGAAAGCCCCCGGCUCAACCGGGGAGGGUCAUUGGAAACUGGGAAACUUGAGUGCAGAAGAGGAGAGUGGAAUUCCACGUGUAGCGGUGAAAUGCGUAGAGAUGUGGAGGAACACCAGUGGCGAAGGCGACUCUCUGGUCUGUAACUGACGCUGAGGAGCGAAAGCGUGGGGAGCGAACAGGAUUAGAUACCCGAGUAGUCCCUGUCUCUUAUAA